rnacentral:rRNA from 1 species
GGGUUGUGAGGUUAAGCGACUAAGCGUACACGGUGGAUGCCCUGGCAGUCAGAGGCGAUGAAGGACGUGCUAAUCUGCGAUAAGCGUCGGUAAGGUGAUAUGAACCGUUAUAACCGGCGAUUUCCGAAUGGGGAAACCCAGUGUGAUUCGUCACACUAUCGUUAACUGAAUACAUAGGUUAACGAAGCGAACCGGGGGAACUGAAACAUCUAAGUACCCCGAGGAAAAGAAAUCAACCGA